CCUACGGGGGACAGCAGUGGGGGAUAUUGCACAAUGGGGGGAACCCUGAUGCAGCGACGCCGCGUGGGUGAAGGAGUGCUUCGGCAUGUAAAGCCCUAUCGGCAGGGAAGAAGCAAGACGGUACCUGACUAAGAAGCCCCGGCUAACUACGUGCCAGCAGCCGCGGGAAUACGUAGGGGGCGAGCGUUAUCCGGAUUCACUGGGUGUAAAGGGAGCGUAGACGGCCAUGCAAGCCAGGGGUGAAAGCCCGGGGCUCAACCCCGGGACUGCCCUUGGAACUGUGCGGCUAGAGUGCGGGAGGGGCAGGCGGAAUUCGUGGUGUAGCGGUGAAAUGCGUAGAUAUCAGGAGGAACACCGGCGGCGAAGGCGGCCUGCUGGACCGCGACUGACGUUGAGGCUCGAAAGCGUGGGGAGCGAACAGGAUUAGAUACCCUUGUAGUC
rnacentral:rRNA from 1 species